rfam:Candidatus Rokubacteria bacterium 13_1_20CM_2_70_7 13_1_20cm_2_scaffold_766, whole genome shotgun sequence.
GGGCCGUUAGCUCAGUUGGUAGAGCAGCUGACUCUUAAUCAGCGGGUCGGAGGUUCGAGUCCUCCACGGCCCA